GGGGCUGUAGCUCAGUGGUAGAGCACCUGCUUCGUACGUGUGAGGCACUGGGUUCAGUCCCCAGCACCA
rnacentral:tRNA from 1 species